UACGGAGGGGGCUAGCGUUGUUCGGAAUUACUGGGCGUAAAGCGCGCGUAGGCGGAUCUGCAAGUCGGGGGUGAAAUCCCGAGGCUCAACCUCGGAACUGCCUUCGAUACUGCGGGUCUCGAGUCCGGGAGAGGUGAGUGGAAUUCCUAGUGUAGAGGUGAAAUUCGUAGAUAUUAGGAAGAACACCAGUGGCGAAGGCGGCUCACUGGCCCGGUACUGACACUGAGGCACGAAAGCGUGGGGAGCAAACAGG
rnacentral:rRNA from 1 species